GUGAAGAACGUAGUGAAAUGCGAUAAGUAGUGUGAAUUGCAGAAUUCAGUGAAUCAUCGAAUCUUUGAACGCACAUUGCGCCCUUUGGUAUUCCAAAGGGCAUGCCUGUUCGAGCGUCAUUUGUACCCUCAAGCUUUGCUUGGUGUUGGGCGUCUUGUCUCUAGCUUUGCUGGAGACUCGCCUUAAAGUAAUUGGCAGCCGGCCUACUGGUUUCGGAGCGCAGCACAAGUCGCACUCUCUAUCAGCAAAGGUCUAGCAUCCAUUAAGCCUUUUUUUCAACUUUUGACCUCGGAUCAGGUAGGGAUACCCGCUGAACUUAAGCAUAUCAAUAAGCGGAGGA
rnacentral:misc_RNA from 1 species